UUAAGCGACUAAGCGUACACGGUGGAUGCCCUGGCAGUCAGAGGCGAUGAAGGACGUGCUAAUCUGCGAAAAGCGUCGGUAAGGUGAUAUGAACCGUUAUAACCGGCGAUGUCCGAAUGGGGAAACCCAGUGCAAUUCGUUGCACUAUCGUUAACUGAAUACAUAGGUUAACGAGGCGAACCGGGGGAACUGAAACAUCUAAGUACCCCGAGGAAAAGAAAUCAACCGAGAUUCCCCCAGUAGCGGCGAGCGAACGGGGAGCAGCCCAGAGUCUGAAUCAGCUUGUGUGUUAGUGGAACGGUCUGGAAAGUCCGACGGUACAGGGUGAUAGUCCCGUACACCAAAAUGCACAGGCUGUGAACUCGAAGAGUAGGGCGGGACACGUGGUAUCCUGUCUGAAUAUGGGGGGACCAUCCUCCAAGGCUAAAUACUCCUGACUGACCGAUAGUGAACCAGUACCGUGAGGGAAAGGCGAAAAGAACCCCGGCGAGGGGAGUGAAAAAGAACCUGAAACCGUGUACGUACAAGCAGUGGGAGCACCUUCGGGUGUGACUGCGUACCUUUUGUAUAAUGGGUCAGCGACUUAUAUUCUGUAGCAAGGUUAACCGUAUAGGGGAGCCGCAGGGAAACCGAGUCUUAACUGGGCGUUAAGUUGCAGGGUAUAGACCCGAAACCCGGUGAUCUAGCCAUGGGCAGGUUGAAGGUUGGGUAACACUAACUGGAGGACCGAACCGACUAAUGUUGAAAAAUUAGCGGAUGACUUGUGGCUGGGGGUGAAAGGCCAAUCAAACCGGGAGAUAGCUGGUUCUCCCCGAAAGCUAUUUAGGUAGCGCCUCGUGAAUUCAUCUUCGGGGGUAGAGCACUGUUUCGGCUAGGGGGUCAUCCCGACUUACCAACCCGAUGCAAACUACGAAUACCGAAGAAUGUUAUCACGGGAGACACACGGCGGGUGCUAACGUCCGUCGUGAAGAGGGAAACAACCCAGACCGCCAGCUAAGGUCCCAAAGUCAUGGUUAAGUGGGAAACGAUGUGGGAAGGCACAGACAGCCAGGAUGUUGGCUUAGAAGCAGCCAUCAUUUAAAGAAAGCGUAAUAGCUCACUGGUCGAGUCGGCCUGCGCGGAAGAUGUAACGGGGCUAAACCAUGCACCGAAGCUGCGGCAGCGACACUAUGUGUUGUUGGGUAGGGGAGCGUUCUGUAAGCCUGCGAAGGUGACCUGUGAGGGUUGCUGGAGGUAUCAGAAGUGCGAAUGCUGACAUAAGUAACGAUAAAGCGGGUGAAAAGCCCGCUCGCCGGAAGACCAAGGGUUCCUGUCCAACGUUAAUCGGGGCAGGGUGAGUCGACCCCUAAGGCGAGGCCGAAAGGCGUAGUCGAUGGGAAACAGGUUAAUAUUCCUGUACUUGGUGUUACUGCGAAGGGGGGACGGAGAAGGCUAUGUUAGCCGGGCGACGGUUGUCCCGGUUUAAGCAUGUAGGCUGAUUGUCCAGGCAAAUCCGGAUAAUCAAGGCUGAGGUGUGAUGACGAGGCACUACGGUGCUGAAGUAACAAAUGCCCUGCUUCCAGGAAAAGCCUCUAAGCAUCAGGUAACAUCAAAUCGUACCCCAAACCGACACAGGUGGUCAGGUAGAGAAUACCAAGGCGCUUGAGAGAACUCGGGUGAAGGAACUAGGCAAAAUGGUGCCGUAACUUCGGGAGAAGGCACGCUGGUGUGUAGGUGAAGUCCCUGCGGAUGGAGCUGAGACCAGUCGAAGAUACCAGCUGGCUGCAACUGUUUAUUAAAAACACAGCACUGUGCAAACACGAAAGUGGACGUAUACGGUGUGACGCCUGCCCGGUGCCGGAAGGUUAAUUGAUGGGGUUAUCCGUAAGGAGAAGCUCUUGAUCGAAGCCCCGGUAAACGGCGGCCGUAACUAUAACGGUCCUAAGGUAGCGAAAUUCCUUGUCGGGUAAGUUCCGACCUGCACGAAUGGCGUAAUGAUGGCCAGGCUGUCUCCACCCGAGACUCAGUGAAAUUGAACUCGCUGUGAAGAUGCAGUGUACCCGCGGCAAGACGGAAAGACCCCGUGAACCUUUACUAUAGCUUGACACUGAACAUUGAGCCUUGAUGUGUAGGAUAGGUGGGAGGCUUUGAAGCGUGGACGCCAGUCUGCGUGGAGCCAACCUUGAAAUACCACCCUUUAAUGUUUGAUGUUCUAACGUUGGCCCCUGACCGGGGUUGCGGACAGUGUCUGGUGGGUAGUUUGACUGGGGCGGUCUCCUCCCAAAGCGUAACGGAGGAGCACGAAGGUUAGCUAAUCCUGGUCGGACAUCAGGAGGUUAGUGCAAUGGCAUAAGCUAGCUUGACUGCGAGCGUGACGGCGCGAGCAGGUGCGAAAGCAGGUCAUAGUGAUCCGGUGGUUCUGAAUGGAAGGGCCAUCGCUCAACGGAUAAAAGGUACUCCGGGGAUAACAGGCUGAUACCGCCCAAGAGUUCAUAUCGACGGCGGUGUUUGGCACCUCGAUGUCGGCUCAUCACAUCCUGGGGCUGAAGUAGGUCCCAAGGGUAUGGCUGUUCGCCAUUUAAAGUGGUACGCGAGCUGGGUUUAGAACGUCGUGAGACAGUUCGGUCCCUAUCUGCCGUGGGCGCUGGAGAAUUGAGGGGGGCUGCUCCUAGUACGAGAGGACCGGAGUGGACGCAUCACUGGUGUUCGGGUUGUCAUGCCAAUGGCACUGCCCGGUAGCUAAAUGCGGAAGAGAUAAGUGCUGAAAGCAUCUAAGCACGAAACUUGCCCCGAGAUGAGUUCUCCCUGAGACUUUAAGUCUCCUGAAGGAACGUUNGACGUUGAUAGGCCGGGUGUGUAAGCGCAGCGAUGCGUUGAGCUAACCGGUACUAAUGAACCGUGAGGCUUAACCUU
rnacentral:rRNA from 1 species